rnacentral:rRNA from 1 species
CAGCAGCCGCGGUAAUACGAAGGGUGCAAGCGUUACUCGGAAUUACUGGGCGUAAAGCGUGCGUAGGUGGUGGUUUAAGUCCGUUGUGAAAGCCCUGGGCUCAACCUGGGAAUUGCAGUGGAUACUGGAUCACUAGAGUGUGGUAGAGGAUAGUGGAAUUUCCGGUGUAGCAGUGAAAUGCGUAGAGAUCGGAAGGAACAUCUGUGGCGAAGGCGACUAUCUGGGCCAACACUGACACUGAGGCACGAAAGCGUGGGGAGUAAACAGGAUUAGAUACCCCCGUAGUCCCUGUCUCUUAUAC